AACCUCCAACCCACCGCCAUAUUCCGCGAAACCACCGCCUUAAAAUCUACAUAAAACACUCUCACCGGUUAAGUUUUGUGUACAGAACCCUAAUCUGUCAAUUUUCUCUCUCGUUUCAAUUUCCCUACCUCUAACCCUAGAAUCUCCGAUCAAAUUCUAACAAUUCGAUCUAAACCCAAAACCUAACCCUAGAUGAUGAUUCUUCAAUUUGGGGAUGAUUCAUCCAUUCACUGGUUUGAGCCACCAGAAUAGUGUUGAUAUAAUCUUCCAAAGGACGACAACGUUUUUCAUCGGAGCAUAUCUGGUGGUAUUUCUCUUAGAAACUACUUUUUCCCUAAGUGAAGAUGUUGAUCAAAGUCUUCACUUCGGGAAAAAUUAGGUUUUUAUCGAAGUUUCUUUUAUGGCGUUGAUUAAGAUGACGAAUAAUUAGUAGCAGAAGAAGAAUUUCGCGGAUAAGAAGACGACGACGAAGAAGAAAUACGAGGAGUUCGAAAAAGCCAGAAAUUCAUCUCGGGAACAAAGUUCUUAAAAGAACAUUGGGAAAUACAGUUGCUUGUUACUCCGUAAUUCCGUAUAUAGCUUGAGUAUUGUUGCCUACAUUCACGUGCUUCAUACGAAGUAUAUACUUCUAGACUGUAUAUAAAUGCUUCAUAUGAACUUUGUUGACCUUCUAUAGUGUAGCAAUUCUAUGAGAUGUUUUUUGUUAAGAUGUUGUAGCUGAACUUUAUGUGGCUCCUGAAAUACUAAGAAGUGUGACUGUGAGUAUUAUUUGUAGGUGCAUGCAGCAGCAAAAGAAUGAAUUUCGCAGUUUGUUGUUA